rnacentral:rRNA from 1 species
AUUGAACGCUGGCGGCAGGCUUAACACAUGCAAGUCGAGCGGGGGAAGGUAGCUUGCUACUGGACCUAGCGGCGGACGGGCGAGUAAUGCUUAGGAAUCUGCCUAUUAGUGGGGGACAACAUCUCGAAAGGGAUGCUAAUACCGCAUACGUCCUACGGGAGAAAGCAGGGGAUCUUUGGACCUUGCGCUAAUAGAUGAGCCUAAGUCGGAUUAGCUAGUUGGUGGGGUAAAGGCCUACCAAGGCGACGAUCUGUAGCGGGUCUGAGAGGAUGAUCCGCCACACUGGGACUGAGACACGGCCCAGACUCCUACGGGAGGCAGCAGUGGGGAAUAUUGGACAAUGGGGGGAACCCUGAUCCAGCCAUGCCGCGUGUGUGAAGAAGGCCUUAUGGUUGUAAAGCACUUUAAGCGAGGAGGAGGCUACUCUAGUUAAUACCUAGGGAUAGUGGACGUUACUCGCAGAAUAAGCACCGGCUAACUCUGUGCCAGCCGCCGCCGUAA